rnacentral:lncRNA from 1 species
UUUGCAUUUAAAAUUUAUUAAAUUCAUACAUAAUUUUAUAAUAUAUAAAUUAUAUAUAGAUAUAAAAGUCUUAAUUAAUAAUUAAAAUAUGAUUACGUUAUACUCAGAAGAAGUAAUCUCACAUUUUUAUCUAAAAAUUGAUAGAAUUUACAAAUACAAAUUUCAACUGUAGACUACCAAACAGAAGAAAUGUAACUGCAGCAGUUGCAACUGCAUAAAAUCAAACAAACUAUGGGCGCGUUUGAUUCGAAGUCGGAAUCGGAAUUGGAAUCGAAAUAAGUUGGAAUCGGAAUUGGAAUGACUCAUUACUUAAUUCUGUUUGGUUCGUUAUCUGAAUCGGUAUCGGAAUAAAUCAUUCCCAUUGUCGGUAUUUGGUUCAGGUAGAUAUAAAAAACGUAAUCAAAUUAAUAUACUAAUUUUAUCUUUAUAAUAUAUUAAUUUAAAUUCAAAUUGAAAAUUAAAUAUUAAAAAUUUAUAUCAAGAUUUUGAAAUAAUGUCCAAAUUUUAAAUAUAUUUUUUUUAAAAAAAAUUUAAACUUUGAAGUUGAGUGGAUAAUUCAAAAUAUAAAACUAAAUUUCAAUUUAUUCAAAUUCAAAUUUAAAAUUAUAAUUUAAAUUUUAAUUUGAAUCCAUAAAUUUAAUUUAAGUUUUAAAUAAAUUUGAAUAAAAUUUUAUAUAAAUUAAAAUGUAAUUUAAAUUCAAAUUUAUAAGUUAGAUUCAAAAGACUCGAUUAAAUUUUAAAUUUUAAUUAAAAUUAAAAUUAAAAUUAUAAAUUAUAAAUUUAAUUUCUAAAUUUAAACUCAUAUUUUAAUUAAAAAAGUUGAAAAAAUAAAUUUAAUCCGAAUAAAUAUUCAUUCCGUCCGGAUUCAACUUCCAAUCCGGUCUAAGUUGGAAAAAGAGGUGAUUGGGAAAUUUCCAUUCCACUCGGAAAUCGGAAUCAAAAUGGGACUCCCGCAUACCAAACACCCACAAACGAAUUUACCAAUUCCGAUUCCGAUUCCAUGAUAAAAAAGAGGCGAAUCAAACACUCCCUAAAUGUAGUUUAUGACUGCAGCAUAUAUAAUUGUAUGUAUUUUCAACUAUAUUAUUUUUGUAACUACAUCUAACCAAGCGGCUCCUUAGAUUACAU